GUGGGUGGGAGAGAACAGAGAAGGGAAGAUUGAGGUCUGUGUCUGGCUUUUUAAGGAGCAGGUAGGCUUACAGAGCUACGCCAGGCAUGAGCUAAUUGAGUGACCAUGUCACGCGAAGGUAGUCACCAGUGCACACUGAUGAUAUAAGAUGCAAGAUCCUUUGCCCAGCUCCUGAACUGCACAUGUGUGGUCAUGUAGCUGGAGUAAGGGCAGAAUUUUAACAUUCUAGACUUUUUGUUUAUUAUAAAAAAAAAAGUGAGACUAAACAAACAGGAACUAUAGAUGCAAGCAUAACCAAC